AGCUGACACAUCCCUGCCAAUCUCUGGCAGACCCUCCCUGCCUCCCAGACCCUCCUACUUCCUGGACCGGAGUUCGCCGCGAACAACAUGGAUGCUGUCCAGGAGGUGGAAGGGUCUGGGAGGGAGGGUCUGCCGGAGAUUGGCAGGGAUGUGUCAGCU